GUCAAGGCUGAGUACGGCUGUAGCCGAGGUUGCUUCGAAGCAUUUCUGGGAGUAUGGGCUAACAGCCUGCCUGAGGGCCAUGAACUGCCGAAAACCAUGUACGGUACGAAGAAAAUCAUGAAGGCGCUCUCCAUGGACUAUGAGAAAAUACAUGUUUGUCCAAAGAAUUGCCUUUUGUUUAGGCAUGAGUAUGCGGAUGACAACUAUUGUAGGAAGUGCGGUUCCUCUCGGUAUAUUGAGGUGGUCGAUAAGCAUGGUCAGAAGCAGCAUCUAAAAAUCCCUGUGAAGGUUCUUCGGUAUCUUGAUUUUAUAAAAAGACUGCAGCGCCUUUUCAUCACCGAGGAGUCUGCCAAAAUGAUGAAGUGGCACAAGGAAGGGAAAAGGUACAAUCCAAAAAAAAUUGUACAUCCAUCAGAAGGUGAAGCAUGGAAGUCAUUUGAUAUAGAGUACCCGGAGGAAGCAGCCGAGGCUGGGAAUGUCAGAAUUGCUAUAACAGGUGAUGGGUUCAAUCCAUAUGGUAUGUCGUCUAAUCCAUACAGCUGCUGGCUCGUAUUUGUUAUUCCGC
rnacentral:rRNA from 1 species